rnacentral:rRNA from 1 species
AGAGCGGCGGACGGGUGAGUAACACGUGGACAAUCUCGCCCCCCGGCCCGGGAUAGCCCAGGGAAACCUGGAUUAAUACCGGAUGAGACGGGACCUGCGAUGGCGGGAGUCCGGGAAAGGCGCUACGGCGCCGGCCGGGGGAUGAGUCUGCGUCCCAUUAGCUAGACGGCGGGGUAACGGCCCACCGUGGCGACGAUGGGUAGCCGGCCUGAGAGGGUGGACGGCCACAUUGGAACUGAGACACGGUCCAGACUCCUACGGGAGGCAGCAGCUAAGAAUCUUCCGCAAUGGGCGAAAGCCUGACGGAGCGACGCCCGCGUGAACGAAGAAGGCCGUGAGGUUGUAAAGUUCUUUCGGGAGGGGGAACAACCGUGGCAGGGAAUGGCCGCGGGAUGACGUGAAUCCCGGAAUAAGCCCCGGCUAACUGCGUGCCAGCCGCGGC